rnacentral:rRNA from 1 species
UGUGGAGCGCUUAGAAGUGAGAAUGCCGGUGUGAGUAGCGAAAGACGGGUGAGAAUCCCGUCCACCGAUUGACUAAGGUUUCCAGAGGAAGGCUCGUCCGCUCUGGGUUAGUCGGGUCCUAAGCUGAGGCCGACAGGCGUAGGCGAUGGAUAACAGGUUGAUAUUCCUGUACCACCUAUAAUCGUUUUAAUCGAUGGGGGGACGCAGUAGGAUAGGCGAAGCGUGCGAUUGGAUUGCACGUCUAAGCAGUAAGGCUGAGUAUUAGGCAAAUCCGGUACUCAUUAAGGCUGAGCUGUGAUGGGGAGAAGACAUUGUGUCUUCGAGUCGUUGAUUUCACACUGCCGAGAAAAGCCUCUAGAUAGAAAAUAGGUGCCCGUACCGCAAACCGACACAGGUAGUCAAGAUGAGAAUUCUAAGGUGAGCGAGCGAACUCUCGUUAAGGAACUCGGCAAAAUGACCCCGUAACUUCGGGAGAAGGGGUGCUCUUUAGGGUUAACGCCCAGAAGAGCCGCAGUGAAUAGGCCCAAGCGACUGUUUAUCAAAAACACAGGUCUCUGCUAAACCGUAAGGUGAUGUAUAGGGGCUGACGCCUGCCCGGUGCUGGAAGGUUAAGAG